rnacentral:rRNA from 1 species
UACGAAGGGGGCUAGCGUUGCUCGGAAUUACUGGGCGUAAAGGGAGCGUAGGCGGAUAGUUUAGUCAGAGGUGAAAGCCCAGGGCUCAACCUUGGAAUUGCCUUUGAUACUGGCUAUCUUGAGUGUGGGAGAGGUAUGUGGAACUCCGAGUGUAGAGGUGAAAUUCGUAGAUAUUCGGAAGAACACCAGUGGCGAAGGCGACAUACUGGCCCAUUACUGACGCUGAGGCUCGAAAGCGUGGGGAGCGAACAGG